rnacentral:rRNA from 1 species
ACGAACGCUGGCGGCGUGCCUAAUACAUGCAAGUAGAACGCUGAAGAGAGGAGCUUGCUCUUCUUGGAUGAGUUGCGAACGGGUGAGUAACGCGUAGGUAACCUGCCUUGUAGCGGGGGAUAACUAUUGGAAACGAUAGCUAAUACCGCAUAACAAUGGAUGACACAUGUCAUUUAUUUGAAAGGGGCAAAUGCUCCACUACAAGAUGGACCUGCGUUGUAUUAGCUAGUAGGUGAGGUAACGGCUCACCUAGGCGACGAUACAUAGCCGACCUGAGAGGGUGAUCGGCCACACUGGGACUGAGACACGGCCCAGACUCCUACGGGAGGCAGCAGUAGGGAAUCUUCGGCAAUGGGGGCAACCCUGACCGAGCAACGCCGCGUGAGUGAAGAAGGUUUUCGGAUCGUAAAGCUCUGUUGUAAGUCAAGAACGAGUGUGAGAGUGGAAAGUUCACACUGUGACGGUAGCUUACCAGAAAGGGACGGCUAACUACGUGCCAGCAGCCGCGGUAAUACGUAGGUCCCGAGCGUUGUCCGGAUUUAUUGGGCGUAAAGCGAGCGCAGGCGGUUUGAUAAGUCUGAAGUUAAAGGCUGUGGCUCAACCAUAGUUCGCUUUGGAAACUGUCAAACUUGAGUGCAGAAGGGGAGAGUGGAAUUCCAUGUGUAGCGGUGAAAUGCGUAGAUAUAUGGAGGAACACCGGUGGCGAAAGCGGCUCUCUGGUCUGUAACUGACGCUGAGGCUCGAAAGCGUGGGGAGCGAACAGGAUUAGAUACCCUGGUAGUCCACGCCGUAAACGAUGAGUGCUAGGUGUUGGAUCCUUUCCGGGAUUCAGUGCCGCAGCUAACGCAUUAAGCACUCCGCCUGGGGAGUACGACCGCAAGGUUGAAACUCAAAGGAAUUGACGGGGGCCCGCACAAGCGGUGGAGCAUGUGGUUUAAUUCGAAGCAACGCGAAGAACCUUACCAGGUCUUGACAUCCCGAUGCUAUUUCUAGAGAUAGAAAGUUACUUCGGUACAUCGGUGACAGGUGGUGCAUGGUUGUCGUCAGCUCGUGUCGCGAGAUGUUGGGUUAAGUCCCGCAACGAGCGCAACCCCUAUUGUUAGUUGCCAUCAUUCAGUUGGGCACUCUAGCGAGACUGCCGGUAAUAAACCGGAGGAAGGUGGGGAUGACGUCAAAUCAUCAUGCCCCUUAUGACCUGGGCUACACACGUGCUACAAUGGUUGGUACAACGAGUUGCGAGUCGGUGACGGCAAGCUAAUCUCUUAAAGCCAAUCUCAGUUCGGAUUGUAGGCUGCAACUCGCCUACAUGAAGUCGGAAUCGCUAGUAAUCGCGGAUCAGCACGCCGCGGUGAAUACGUUCCCGGGCCUUGUACACACCGCCCGUCACACCACGAGAGUUUGUAACACCCGAAGUCAAAGAGGUAACCUUUUGGAGCCAGCCGCCUAAG